AGGAGCAUAGUUUAAGGGUAGAAUCACGGUCUCCAAAACCGUUGGUGGGAGUUCGAAUCUCUCUGCUCCUG
rnacentral:tRNA from 1 species